GAUGAACGCUGGCGGCGUGCCUAAUACAUGCAAGUCGAGCGAACAGACGAGGAGCUUGCUCCUCUGACGUUAGCGGCGGACGGGUGAGUAACACGUGGAUAACCUACCUAUAAGACUGGGAUAACUUCGGGAAACCGGAGCUAACACCGGAUAAUAUAUUGAACCGCAUGGUUCAAUAGUGAAAGACGGUUUUGCUGUCACUUAUAGAUGGAUCCGCGCCGCAUUAGCUAGUUGGUAAGGUAACGGCUUACCAAGGCAACGAUGCGUAGCCGACCUGAGAGGGUGAUCGGCCACACUGGAACUGGGACACGGUCCAGACUCCUACGGGAGGCAGCAGUAGGGAAUCUUCCGCAAUGGGCGAAAGCCUGACGGAGCAACGCCGCGUGAGUGAUGAAGGUCUUCGGAUCGUAAAACUCUGUUAUUAGGGAAGAACAAUUGUGUAAGUAACUAUGCACGUCUUGACGGUACCUAAUCAGAAAGCCACGGCUAACUACGUG
rnacentral:rRNA from 1 species